AGCAGAGGAGGAGAAAGAUGUUGAGGAAGAAGAGGAGGAAGUAGAGGAAGAGGCUGCAGAUGAGGAAGAUGAUGACGCUGAAGAGGACGCUGAGGACACAGUAGCAGAGGAAGAAGAAGAAGAAGAGGAGGAGGAGGAUGCAGAUGAGGAAGCUGAAGCUGAAAAUGAGGAAGAAGAGGAGGAGGAAGAGGCCUCUGAAGAUGAUGAUGAAGACGAAACUGAGGAAGAGGAGCUAGCCGGAGAAGAGGAGGCUGAUGAUGCUGAAGAAGAAGAAGAGGAUGUUGCUGUACAGAACACAACUGAUGCACUGGAAGAUGAAGAUGACGAUGCAGCAGAAGUCGAAGAUGAUGUAACUGAAGAGGAGCCAGUCGCUGACUUGCUCCAAUUCCACCCGGGCUCUUUGUGUAGUGUUUGCUCCAUCUGUGAGCACUGCUCCAAAAACUGUGGGGAGUGCCCUUGUGAAGAGGGAGACGAGUCAGAGCACUGUGAACAUUGCCAAGAAUGUUCAUCCUGCUACCUUUGCCCAUUACUUUGUGACACAAUUUGCACGCCAGGUGGCCUUAUUGACGAGCUAACUGGAUCCCUCUUUCAGUCUUUUUCCUCUCUUCUUUAAGCUAGCCUUUGAUACCACCAUGUGGUUUCAUGAGGUAUUGCACUCAGCAUCAGAGCUGUCCGGUUGUUCAUACCUUUCCAGCAACAUGAGGACUCCCACAAGAGCUUCACAUCGAGCAGCUGACAAAAAGGAAAAAUCACGACUAGGUUUUAACUCUUGUUUAGACACUGAUUUUAACUAGCUUUGAAAGGAGACCCUUUUCUUAUCUUUUUAAUGACCUGCAUACUGUAUGUGUUUUUUUUUAACACAUAACAGAAGAAAAAAAAACGUUACUGAGGCUUUAAUGUUUUUUGUAGAACUCUUAUAACAGUCAAGUAAAAAUUGUAUAGUUGACAGGAAUCAGUUAAAAUGCACCAGAUAGAUGAAAGUGAUGUCAAUGGUAACUUAUGCAAAAUGCAAAUGUAUUAUAAACCCUCACUAAAUUUGAAAAACACAACAUCAAAAACAAGUGUUUCACAAUCACUAGUUUUAACUAAAUGAUACAAUUAUCCUUCUCCGUCAAGCUCUGCUUGUUGUAGCACAUGUGCAUUAAAGGUAGAGGUUACAGCAGUGCUAAUGCACACUUUUUUGAGUUCAUUAUAAUCUAUUAUUUUACAUUGUUUAUUGAGAAAUAUUUUUAGAGGUAUUUUUGUGCAUAUAGAUAUGGCUAUGGCUUACUUUCAAACCAGAGCUACAAUUCAAUAUAAAUGUAAACGACUCGGGUAUAAAGUCCCUGGUAAAAUACUCUUAUGUAAGAACAUAACAACUUCUGAAGAUUCAACCCACAACUUAGUUUAAAAACCAAUGUACUUUC